GUCUAUUGUCAGCGCGUCAACCAGUUUGAGAACGACGCUGACCAGAUCACGCGCGAAGUUCUGACCGCGGUCCGCCGGACCUUCAUCACCCCGUUCGACCGCGGCGACAUCAAGAACCUGAUCACGGCGAUGGACGACGCCAUCGACCAGAUGCAGCAGACCGCCAAGGCGGUGAUGCUGUUCGAGGUGCGGAUCUUCGAGCCGCCGAUGCGCGAGAUCGGCGCCAUCCUCGUUCAGUGCGCCAACCUCGUCGGCCGCGCGCUCCCGCUGAUGCAGUCGAUGGGCCCAAACGUCACCACGCUGACGGCGCUGACCGAGGAAAUCACCCGGCUCGAAGGCCGGGUCGAUGAUCUGAACGACAUCGGCCUGAAGGAACUGUUCCUCAAGCACCGCGACGGCAGCGCGAUGGACUUUGUGGUCGGCGCGGAAAUCUACAAGCAUCUGGAAAAAGUCGCCGACCGCUUCGACGACGUGGCCAACGAGAUCAACAGCAUCGUAAUCGAACAAGUUUAAGGUCAGGACCUCGU
rnacentral:misc_RNA from 1 species